GACCGUAGUUACCAGCCACCAAAUUUCAUUUCAAGGCUUUAUAAACAGUUUCCUGUAUUGACAGGUUUAUAUUCUGAUCCACAGUAUCACGGAGUUCACACAAGACUUGUUUGCUCGCAAAGCGGAUGAAGAGGGCGGCCUCUAAAGAUUAAAGGUACCAUUGCGGUCCCUCCAGCAGAUACUUGUCCUGUCCUGAUGCUCCGGAGCGCUAGCUUGUCCCAGCUAACACAAAAAUAUGAAGCUGGGAAGCCGCCUCCUCGGUCAAGGGAAAAGAGAAACCUGGGUCUCCCCCAGCUGAGACAGUGCAGGACAAUGGCCAGACCGUGUGUGACAACAGAACUCCGACCCUCCACCUCUGCGGCAACCGGCUCGGGGAGCCUGACCGCAGGCCCCGCCGCGACCGGCCCAGAGCGGGCUGCGCUCGGACACUGCCUGCCAGCUUCCCCGGUUUUCGCUCCUGCUUCCACCCCGGGGCCAAUCAGAGAAAGCCAAAUAUGUCCCCCCAACCAAUCACAGAGCGGCGCCGCCUCCAGGUCGCCUGCCUCCGGCUUCUCAGGCCCACAACGUCCAAUCAACGCGCUCCUCAAGCCUCCCCGUUUUCCCUGCCGGCCUCUGAGUCUCUACCGAACCGAGGGAAGGCGGUGGGCUCCCUCGCUUAGCAGACUCUGAAUAAAUAGCCUGUUCCCCUUUG